rnacentral:rRNA from 1 species
UACGAAGGGGGUUAGCGUUGCUCGGAAUCACUGGGCGUAAAGCGCACGUAGGCGGGUUGCUAAGUCAGGGGUGAAAUCCUGGAGCUCAACUCCAGAACUGCCCUUGAUACUGGCGGCCUUGAGUCCGGGAGAGGUGAGUGGAACUCCGAGUGUAGAGGUGAAAUUCGUAGAUAUUCGCAGGAACACCAGUGGCGAAGGCGGCUCGCUGGACCGGUACUGACGCUGAGGCGCGAAAGCGAGGGGAGCAAACGCG